rnacentral:rRNA from 1 species
UUCUCCUACGGGAGGCAGCAGUGGGGGAUAUUGCACAAUGGGGGAAACCCUGAUGCAGCGACGCCGCGUGAGUGAAGAAGUAUUUCGGUAUGUAAAGCUCUAUCAGCAGGGAAGAAAAUGACAGUACCUGACCAAGAAGCCCCGGCUAACUACGUGCCAGCAGCCGCGGUAAUACGUAGGGGUCAAGCGUUAUCCGGAUUUACUGGGUGUAAAGGGAGCGUAGACGGUUAUGUAAGUCUGGAGCGAAAGCCCGGGGCCCAACCCCGGGAGUGCAUUGGAAACUGCCAGGCUGGAGUGUCGGAGGG